ACAAACCUAAAACUCACUUUCUCAUCCAUGGCGGCCACUGACUUGACGAACACCAUAGCGAUUCCUCUUCUCAUGCUCUCUUCAUCUUCUUUUAGGUAUGUUUCACCUUCUUCUCCUCUUGCUUUGUUUUUAUUGAAUUUGGGUUGUUUUUGUUGAAUUUUUUAUUCUUCUUCUUCCUCUUCUCAUGUUGUUUCGAAAAUUAUCAAAACCCUAAUUUGGGGGUUUUCAAUAACUGUUCUUUGUAAUGUCAAAUUGGUUCUAAUUUAUGUUGGUUUAGUAAUUUUCAUGACAUAGUGCGAGCUUUUUUUGUUAAAAAUGUUGAAUUUUUUUUCGAAACCCUAACCUAAUUUGGGGAUUUUGUAAACCCUAAUUAUAUCAUGGGGAUUUGUUAAACCCUAAUUCUUAUUUAUAGAUUAUGUCAAACUGUAACUCUAAUUUUGAAAUUGAUUGUUAAUUAUUAAAAAAAAUGUAAACUUUAGUUCAAUUAUCUUUGUUAAGUUGUAGUUUUUGGUUUAUAUGGAUAUUUGAAUUUUACAAAAUCUGGGGUUCAGUAUGUUUCUAUGACUACCCCCACUUUGUUAUCUUAACUUUAAAUCACCUUCAUUCCAGAUUUUGUAAUUGUUGUUUUCUUAUAUGAAUUAUUUUGAAAAAUUCAGAGAACAGUCCAAUAUUUUUAAAGAAGAAGAUAUGCAAGUUCAAAUUCAAGGGACAAAUUGCAUAGUUACUAGAGCUAAUUCAGAAAUUGGUUAUGCAACAGGUGAGGAUCUCCCAAAACGGCUUGUUGGAUAUGAGUCUUAUAUUUGGAUGUUUUUCUGAUACAUUGUGUUUUGCAGAUUUUAUAUUUAUUGAUUUGAUAUUUUUCUUUCUUUUCUAGUGGGGGGAAUGUGUAUAUGACUUGCCGUGUUAAAGAAAGAGAAGCUACCUUACUGAAACUCAAUUUGACACAGGGAAUCAGAAUGUCUUCAUAGAGGUAUUACUCUAUGAGAAUGUAAUUAUGAACUUUUUCCCUCAUUCUGUAAUUGUUUGAGUUCAUAACUAUGCUUACAAAAUGAUGCUGUAAAUUCUUUUAAUACAUAUGCAGUCUGGUGAUAGCCCUAGGGGUGGCAAAAUGACCCGCAACCCGUUAACCCGACACGAACCCGACCUGAGAUAAACAGGUUUGGGUUUAGUCUUAUCGGGUUUUCGGGUCAUUUUGACCCGAACUUGUUAGACCCGUUUAUAAACAGGUCAGGUUCGGGUUUGACCACUAACAGGUCGGGUCAACUCGAAACCCGUUAAAAAUUAAUAUUUUUUAUUUUAAGUUUUGAAAUCAUCUCUCUAUCCCUCCUUUUUCAUCUCUCAACAAUCGUUUUCUUUCUUCUUCUUUAACUAUGUAGAAAUAUAUAGUAGUAAUGAAUUCAUUAUUAAAAACUUGUUUGUUGGUGGUUCUUAUUUUUCUAUAUCAAAGUUAGAGAUUGUGUGAAUAUUUUUCUUGUUUUUCAAUUGAUUUGUUUUGGGUUUAAGGAGCAUGAUGUUUUAAUUAAUCAAUUGAAACCAGAUCGGUGUUUUUUUAUUUUUAAAACUCAAGUUUGAUGCUCCUAAUUAUGUUUAUAAUUGGCUUUAAUGUUAACAUUUUUCAUCUCUAUGCUCUUUAUAGUAAUUGUUUAUUUUACCGCCCCCUUAUUUUUCAAGAAUAUUUUUUUUAAUUUUGUCUUUUACUAGUAGUUUUAAUUUUUGAUGAAAUUAAGUUGAUUAAUUUAUAUUAAAUAAAUCUGAAGCGGGUUUAAACAGGUUAACCCGAAUCCGACCUGUUUAUUAAACAGGUCGGGUUCGGGUUUAGAAAAAAAUACUAAACAGGUUAACAGGUCAGGUUCGGGUUUAGAGAGAAAACACAUCAACCCGUUAAGACCCGACACGAAUCUGACACGACCCGACACGAUUGCCACCCCUAGGUGAUACUGCAUUUUUGUAGUAAUAUAUAAUAUUAGAUUGUAUGAAUAGUAUCUACAUGUGGGGACUUCUAUCCUCUUGUAGUUAUUUCCAUAAU
rnacentral:lncRNA from 1 species